CAUCACUACGCUAGAUGCAUAUCAAUAAGCGGAGGAAAAGAAACUAACAAGGAUUCCCUAGUAACGGCGAGUGAAGCGGGAAGAGCUCAAAUUUGAAAUCUUAAAGGUUUUACCUUGACGAAUUGUAGUUUAAAGAAGUGUUUUCUGUUGAAGUUUUGGUAAAAGUUCUUUGGAAUAGGACAUCAUAGAGGGUGAGAAUCCCGUAUUUGACCAUUACUUUUCAGCUGUGUGAUACACUUUCAAAGAGUCGGAUUGUUUGGGAAUGCAGUCCAAAAUGGGUGGUAAAUUUCAUCUAAAGCUAAAUAUUGGCGAGAGACCGAUAGCGAACAAGUACCGUGAGGGAAAGAUGAAAAGAACUUUGAAAAGAGAGUUAAACGGUACGUGAAAUUGUCAAAAGGGAAGCGUUUGACACCAGUGUUGUUUUUCUGAAAAUCAAUUAAAGAACUGUUUAUGCUAAGUUGUUUAGACUUUAUCAGCUAACUGUUUAGUUUUGAGCUUUUCUUUAAUGCACUUUUCAGAUAACAAGUCAACAUCAAUUUCUUUUGCUGUAAAAAAGCUUGAGGAAGGUGGCCUGAGAUUCGUCUUAAGUGUUUAUAGCCUCUUGCCUAUGCAGUCGGAGAGAUUGAGGUCUGCAGCGUAGAUCCUUCGGGGCUAAAUGCAUUUGUGCUAAGUUAUAGCAUUUUAUAGACAACUUGUUGACUAUGAUUUGUCUUGUAGCUUACUCGCUUAUGUUAUUUUACCUACGCUUAGGAUGUUGACGCAUGAGAUAUACGC
rnacentral:rRNA from 1 species